GCUUGACUGUAGCUUGGAAUUGGGUUCGGGCUUUUCUUGCGCAGACUAGGUGGGAGGCUAUGAAGAAAUAUUUUUGGAUAUUUUGGAGCCAUCAGUGAGAGACCACUCUGAAGAAGCUAGAAUUCUAAUGGCGUUCCUUGAAGCAGGACGCUUGACAGUUUCAGGUGGGCAGUUUGACUGGGGCGGUCACCUCCUAAAAGGUAACGGAGGUGUGCAAAGGUUCCCUCAGGCUGGACGGAAAUCAGCCGUAGAGUGUAAAGGCAGAAGGGAGCUUGACUGCAAGACCUACAAGUCGAGCAGGGGCGAAAGCCGGCCUUAGUGAUCCGACGGUUCCGUGUGGAAGGGCCGUCGCUAAACGGAUAAAAGUUACUC
rnacentral:rRNA from 1 species